rnacentral:rRNA from 1 species
AAUAGAUACCCAGGUAGUCCACGCCGUAAACGAUGUCGACUUGGAGGUUGUGCCCUUGAGGCGUGGCUUCCGGAGCUAACGCGUUAAGUCGACCGCCUGGGGAGUACGGCCGCAAGGUUAAAACUCAAAUGAAUUGACGGGGGCCCGCACAAGCGGUGGAGCAUGUGGUUUAAUUCGAUGCAACGCGAAGAACCUUACCUACUCUUGACAUCCAGAGAACUUAGCAGAGAUGCUUUGGUGCCUUCGGGAACUCUGAGACAGGUGCUGCAUGGCUGUCGUCAGCUCGUGUUGUGAAAUGUUGGGUUAAGUCCCGCAACGAGCGCAACCCUUAUCCUUUGUUGCCAGCGGUCCGGCCGGGAACUCAAAGGAGACUGCCAGUGAUAAACUGGAGGAAGGUGGGGAUGACGUCAAGUCAUCAUGGCCCUUACGAGUAGGGCUACACACGUGCUACAAUGGCAUAUACAAAGAGAAGCGACCUCGCGAGAGCAAGCGGACCUCAUAAAGUAUGUCGUAGUCCGGAUUGGAGU